CCUACGGGAGGCAGCAGUGAGGAAUAUUGGUCAAUGGGCGCGAGCCUGAACCAGCCAAGUAGCGUGAAGGAUGACUGCCCUACGGGUUGUAAACUUCUUUUAUAAAGGAAUAAAGUGAGGCACGUGUGCCUUUUUGUAUGUACUUUAUGAAUAAGGAUCGGCUAACUCCGUGCCAGCAGCCGCGGUAAUACGGAGGAUCAGAGCGUUAUCCGGAUUUAUUGGGUUUAAAGGGAGCGUAGAUGGGUUUUUAAGUCAGUCGUUAAAGUUUGCGGCUAAACCGUAAAAUUGCAAUUGAUACUGGCAGUCUUGAGUGCAGUUGAGGUAGGCGGAAGUCGUGGUGUAGCGGGGAAAUGCUU
rnacentral:rRNA from 1 species